GGUCCCGCCUGCCCAGUGACCAAGUGUUCAACGGCCGCGGUAUUUUGACCGUGCGAAGGUAGCGCAAUAACUUGUCCUUUAAAUGAAGACUAGUAUGAAUGGCAUCACGAGGGCUUAGCUGUCUCCUUUUUUAAGUCAAUGAAAUUGAUCUUCCCGUGCAAAAGCGGGAAUAAGAACAUAAGACGAGAAGACCCUGUGGAGCUUUAGACACUAAGACAGACCCCGUAAGAAUGCCUCAAUAAGGGCUAAAACUAAAAGGUAUCUGGCCUGAUGUCUUUGGUUGGGGCGACCGCGGAGAAUAAAAAAACCUCCCCUCCGCGCGGACUGGAGGAACCCACCCACCACAUACCCCUCCAAAAUUAAGAGUUACCACUCGAACUAACAGAACUUUCUGACCACUGUGAUCCGGCGCAAAGCCGAUCAACGAAUCAAGUUACCCCAGGGAUAACAGCGCAAUCCCCUUCUAGAGUCCAUAUCGACAAGGGGGUUUACGACCUCGAUGUUGGAUCAGGACAUCCUAAUGGUGCAGCCGCUAUUAAGGGUUCGUUUGUUCAACGAUUAAAGUCCUACGUGAUC
rnacentral:rRNA from 1 species